GGGAGGAGGGGGAGAGGGCAAGGGGAGGAGGGGAGAGGGCAUAGAUACAGAAUGAAUGGAUAGAACUACUGUACUGUAGAUACAGAAUGAAUAGAUAGAACUACUGUAGAUACACAAUGAAUAGAUAUAACUACUGCAGAUACACAUUGAAUAGGUAGAACUACUGUAGAUACACAUUGAAUAGGUAGAACUACUGUAGAUACACAAUGAAUAGGUAGAACUACUGUAGAUACACAUUGAAUAGGUAGAACUACUGUAGAUACACAUUGAAUAGGUAGAACUACUGUAGAUACACAUUGAAUAGGUAGAACUACUGUAGAUACACAUUGAAUAGAUAUAACUACUGCAGAUACACAUUGAAUAGAUAUAACUACUGCAGAUACACAUUGAAUAGGUAGAACUACUGCAGAUACACAUUGAAUAGAUAUAACUACUGCAGAUACACAUUGAAUAGAUAUAACUACUGCAGAUACACAUUGAAUAGAUAGAACUAGUGUAGAUACACAUUGAAUAGAUAUAACUACUGUAGAUACAGAAUGAAUAGAUAUAACUACUGUAGAUACACAUUGAAUAGAUAUAACUACUGUAGAUACACAUUGAAUAGAUAUAACUACUGCAGAUACACAUUGAAUAGAUAGAACUAGUGUAGAUACACAUUGAAUAGAUAUAACUACUGUAGAUACAGAAUGAAUAGAUAGAACUAGUGUAGAUACACAUUGAAUAGAUAUAACUACUGUAGAUACACAUUGAAUAGAUAUAACUACUGUAGAUACAGAAUGAAUAGAUAUAACUACUGUAGAUACACAUUGAAUAGGUAGAACUACUGCAGAUACACAUUGAAUAGAUAUAACUACUGCAGAUACAGAAUGAAUAGAUAUAACUACUGCAGAUACACAUUGAAUAGAUAUAACUACUGUAGAUACAGAAUGAAUAGGUAGAACUACUGCAGAUACACAUUGAAUAGAUAGAACUAGUGUAGAUACACAUUGAAUAGAUAUAACUACUGUAGAUACACAUUGAAUAGAUAUAACUACUGUAGAUACAGAAUGAAUAGAUAGAACUAGUGUAGAUACAGAAUAGUUACACUACUGUAGAUACAGAAUGAAUACCUAGAGCUACUCUACUGUAGAUACAGAAUGAAUACCUAGAGCUACUGUACUGUAGAUACAGAAUGAAUAGCUAGAGCUACUGUACUGUAGAUACAGAAUGAAUAGCUAGAGCUACUGUACUGUAGAUACAGAAUGAAUAGCUAGAGCUACUGUACUGUAGAUACAGAAUGAAUACCUAGAGCUACUCUACUGUAGAUACAGAAUGAAUACCUAGAGCUACUGUACUGUAGAUACAGAAUGAAUAGCUAGAGCUACUGUACUGUAGAUACAGAAUGAAUAGCUAGAGCUACUGUAGAUACAGAAUGAAUAGAUAGAACUACUGUAGAUACAGAAUGAAUAGCUAGAGCUACUGUAGAUACAGAAUGAAUAGAUAGAGCUACUGUAGAUACAGAAUGAAUAGCUAGAGCUACUGUAGAUACAGAAUGAAUAGCUAGAACUACUGUACUGUAGAUACAGAAUGAAUAGCUAGAACUACUGUACUGUAGAUACAGAAUGAAUAGAUAGAACUACUGUAGAUACAGAAUGAAUAGAUAGAACUACUGUACUGUAGAUACAGAAUGAAUAGAUAGAACUACUGUAGAUACAGAAUUAAUCGCUAGAACUACUGUAGAUACAGAAUUAAUAGAUAAAACUACUGUAGAUACAGAAUUAAUCGCUAGAACUACUGUAGAUACAGAAUGAAGAGAUAGAACUACUGUAGAUACAGAAUGAAUCGCUAGAACUACAAACAGACUAAGCAUGUGGUCUAACAAGACCUAUAAAAAGCAUUAACACACAUUGCUGACUUCUUUUCAACAAAGUUUAUUUUUUAUUUUUUAAACAAAUACAUCCUUUUUGUUGAACAGCAAAGCCUCCAGCAUUGAAUUACAAGAACGAACAUGCUGACUACACCGGGCACGCGCUUGCAUCCACGUGCACAUUGCACGCAUGUUGAUUUUGUCCAACCACACCAGACACAAUCAGGACACGCAGGUUGAAAUAUCCAAACGAACUCUGAACGAAUUAUAUUCAUUUGGGACAGGUCGAAACACAUGAAACAUUCAUGGACAUUUAGCUAGUUCAUUUGUCCUGGGAUAAAAUUAAACACUGGGUUGUUAUUCUACUUGAAAUACACAAGGUCAAUUUUUUCCUGGAUCUUUGUAGAUUAUUUUUUAUGUUCUCUACUCUGACAGUUAAUCCAGAGAUAAAAGGGGAAGUUAGUGUCUAGUAAUCUCUCCUCCUUCAGUUUUCUUCUUUGGACUUUAUAUGGCGGUUGGCAACCAACUUUAAGGUGCAUUACCACCACCAACUGGACUGGAGUGUGGACCUCAGUUGCUUUCAAUCACCCAAGUGGGUAGAUGCUCCUAACAACCAAUGAGGAGAUGGGAGAGGCGGGACUUGCAGCGCAUUCAGCAUCACAAAUAGAACUAGGUUCUAUUUCAGCGCCUGGCUAUGCAGACGUUGACGUGCGCAAGCAGUUUGGAUGUAAUUAUUGAUUAACAUGCAUUUAUUCCGCAAUGUGAGCGGUGUGGUCAGCAUGCACAACCCACUUAAGACACAAAAUCCCCAUUUCAUGAAUAUAUUAAAAUAUAUCAAAACUU
ensembl:lncRNA